GACGAACGCUGGCGGCGUGCUUAACACAUGCAAGUCGAACGAAGUGGCGAACGGGUGAGUAACGCGUAAUCAACCUGCCCUUCAGUGGGGGACAACAGUUGGAAACGACUGCUAAUACCGCAUACUGAAGGAGGGGAUUGCGUCUGAUUAGCUAGUUGGAGGGGUAACGGCCCACCAAGUCGAUGAUCAGUAGCCGGUCGGGGAGGGUGAACGGCGACAAUGGGAAUGGGCCACGGCCCAGACUCCUACGGGAGGCAGCAGUGGGGAAGCUUCCGCAAUGGACGAAAGUCUGACGGAGCAACGCCGCGUGAGUGAUGACGGCCUUCGGGUUGUAAAGCUCUGUUAAUCGGGACGCGGUACCGGAAUAGAAAGCCACGGCUAACUACGUGCCAGCCGCGGCGUAAUAC
rnacentral:rRNA from 1 species